rnacentral:lncRNA from 1 species
UGCGAUGAGGAAGAAGAAGUUUGGAAUGAAGAAAUAAAUGAGGAAGAUGUCGAUGAGUGUGCUGAGGACGAAGGUGAAGAUGAAGUUCGAGUAAUAGAAUUUAAGAGAAAAUACAGAGAAGGUUCUCCACUAAAAGAGGAAAGCCUUGCAAGGGAGGACUCCCCACUAAGCAGCCCUAGUUCCCAGCCUGGGACCCCCGAUGAGCAGCUGGUGUUAGGAAAGAAGGGAGAUAUCGCCAGGAAUUCUUAUUCCAGAUACAACACGAUAUCCUAUCGGAAAAUCAGGAAAGGCCAAUGAGAAGCCUAAAAUUAAACCCCACCUCCAUUAAACAUGGUUUUAUAG